GUCUGUUUGGAGAUAUAAAAAGUCUGGCCUGCCCACUGAUGUUUUAAAGGGCCGCGGUAAUUUGACCGUGCAAAGGUAGCAUAAUCGUUAGUUUUUUAAUUGGAAUCUUGUAUGAAUGGUCGAACAAAAGAAUAACUGUCUCUAUAUUUAUUUUGAAUUUAACUUUUAAGUGAAAAGGCUUAAAUGUUUUAGAAAGACGAUAAGACCCUAUAAAGCUUAAUGAGUUUUAUUAUUUAACUAAAUUAAUGUGCUAUAAAGGUUUAGUAAGAGUAGCUUAUUUUAUUGGGGCGAUAAUGAUAAAAUGAUUUUAACUGUUAAUAAAGUAAAGCAAAGUUCGGUGUUUAAAUAUGUGUAAAUGAUCCUUAAAUUAGGAUUAAAAGUUUAAGUUACUUUAGGGAUAACAGCGUUAUUUUUCUUGAGAGUUCAUAUCGAAAGAAAAGUUUGCGACCUCGAUGUUGAAUUAAAAUUUCUAUAUAAUUGCAGGAGUUAUAUUAGAGGGUCUGUUCGACCUUUAAAUUUUUACAUGAUUUGAGUUCAGACCGGCGUGAG
rnacentral:rRNA from 1 species